rnacentral:rRNA from 1 species
UACGUAGGGUGCAAGCGUUAAUCGGAAUUACUGGGCGUAAAGCGUGCGUAGACGGUCAUGUAAGUCGGGUGUGAAAGCCCCGGGCUCAACCUGGGAAUUGCAUUCGAGACUGCAUGGCUAGGAUGCGGAAGAGGGAAGCGGAAUUUCCGGUGUAGCGGUGAAAUGCGUAGAUAUCGGAAGGAACACCAGUGGCGAAAAGCGGCUUCCUGGUCCAGCAUCGACGUCAGGCACGAAAGCGUGGGGAGCAAACAGG